rnacentral:rRNA from 1 species
UAAUACGGGCGGGGCGAGCGUUGUUCGGAUUCAUUGGGUGUAAAGGGUGCGAAGGCGGUCGUCUAAGUCGAAGGUGAAAUGUCUACGGCUCAACCGAGGCAUUGCCUCCGAUACUGGACGACUUGAGUGCGGAAGGGGAGCGUGGAAUUCCUGGUGUAGCGGUGAAAUGCGUAGAUAUCAGGAGGAACACCGGUGGCGAAGGCGACGCUCUGGUCCGCAACUGACGCUCAUGCACGAAAGCCAGGGGAGCGAACGGGAUUAGAUACCCCGGUAGUCCUGGCCGUAAACGUUGGGCACUAGGUGUGGGAGGUAUCGACCCCUUCCGUGCCGUAGCUAACGCAUUAAGUGCCUCACCUGGGGAGUACGACCGCAAGGUUGAAACUCAAAGGAAUUGACGG